GACGAACGCUGGCGGCGUGCUUAACACAUGCAAGUCGAGCGGAAAGGCGCGGCGCUUGUUGGUUUCUCGUUUGCCGAACGGGUGAGUGACACGCGAGUAACACCCCCUUGUCUGUGUGAUAUCUUCUCGAAACUGGGGCUAAUAUCGCAGAUGAUCUCUUGCUCCGUGUGGUGGGUUGGUAAGUUUCGGCUGUGGGGGAUGGACUAGCUGCUUAUCCGCUUGUUGGUGUGGUAGGGGCUUUCCAAGGCUUUGACGGGUAGCCUGCCUGAGAGGGUGACCGGCGACAUUGGGACUGAGAGACGGCCCAGACUCCUACGGGAGGCAACAGUGGGGAAUAUUGCACAAUGGGCGGAAGCCUGAUGCAGAAGCGCCGCGUGCGGGAUGACGGCCUUCGGGUUGUAAACCGAUUUCGCAUGUAACGAAGCGUGAGUGACGGUAAUGGAUAAAGAAGCACCGGCUAACUACGUG
rnacentral:rRNA from 1 species